rnacentral:rRNA from 1 species
UACGAAGGGUGCAAGCGUUACUCGGAAUUACUGGGCGUAAAGCGUGCGUAGGCGGUUUGUUAAGUCUGUCGUGAAAGCCCCGGGCUCAACCUGGGAAUGGCGAUGGAUACUGGCGAGCUAGAGUACGGUAGAGGAGAGUGGAAUUCCCGGUGUAGCAGUGAAAUGCGCAGAUAUCAGGAGGAACACCGGUGGCGAAGGCGGAUCUCUGGGCCAUUACUGACGCUGAGGAGCGAAAGCGUGGGGAGCGAACAGG